UGGGGAAUAUUGGACAAUGGGCGCAAGCCUGAUCCAGCAAUGCCGCGUGUGUGAAGAAGGCCUUCGGGUUGUAAAGCACUUUUAUCAGGAGCGAAACGCUGUCGGCUAAUACCCGGCGGAACUGACGGUACCUGAGGAAUAAGCACCGGCUAACUUCGUGCCAGCAGCCGCGGUAAUACGAAGGGUGCAAGCGUUAAUCGGAAUUACUGGGCGUAAAGCGUGCGUAGGCGGUUUCUUAAGUCUGCUGUGAAAUCCCCGGGCUCAACCUGGGAAUGGCAGUGGAUACUGGGAGGCUAGAGUGUGUCAGAGGGUGGUGGAAUUCCCGGUGUAGCGGUGAAAUGCGUAGAGAUCGGGAGGAACAUCAGUGGCGAAGGCGGCCACCUGGGACAACACUGACGCUGAGGCACGAAAGCGUGGGGAGCAAACAGGAUUAGAUACCCUGGUAGUCCACGCCCUAAAGCGAUGCGAACUGGAUGUUGGUCUCAACUCGGAGAUCAGUGUCGAGGCUAACGCGUUAAGUUCGCCGCCUGGGGAGUACGGUCGCAAGACUGAAACUCAAAGGAAUUGACGGGGUCAUAGCUGUUUCCUG
rnacentral:rRNA from 1 species